rnacentral:rRNA from 1 species
AUUGAACGCUGGCGGCAGGCCUAACACAUGCAAGUCGAGCGAGCGGCGGACGGGUGAGUCAUGCCUGGGAAUUGCCCUGUCGAGGGGGAUACCAGUUGGAAACGACUGCUAAUACCGCAUACGAUUGGAUUGCCCAGGUGGGAUUAGCUAGUUGGUGAGGUAAUGGCUCACCAAGGCGACGAUCCCUCGCUGGUCUGAGAGGAUGAUGAGCAACACGGGAACUGAGAAACGGUCCAGACUCCUACGGGAGGAAGCGGGGGGGAAUAUUGCACAAUGGGGGAAACCCUGAUGCAGACAGGCGGGGUGUGUGAAGAAGGCCUUGGGGUUGUAAAGCACGUUCAGCGAGGAGGCGUUACUCGCAGAAGAAGCACCGGCUAACUCCGUGCCAGCCGCCGCGGUAAUUC